rnacentral:rRNA from 1 species
GACGAACGCUGGCGGCGUGCCUAAUACAUGCAAGUCGAGCGAGCUUGCCUAGAUGAAUUUGGUGCUUGCACCAGAUGAAACUAGAUACAAGCGAGCGGCGGACGGGUGAGUAACACGUGGGUAACCUGCCCAAGAGACUGGGAUAACACCUGGAAACAGAUGCUAAUACCGGAUAACAACACUAAACGCAUGUCUAGAGUUUAAAAGAUGGUUCUGCUAUCACUCUUGGAUGGACCUGCGGUGCAUUAGCUAGUUGGUAAGGCAACGGCUUACCAAGGCAAUGAUGCAUAGCCGAGUUGAGAGACUGAUCGGCCACAUUGGGACUGAGACACGGCCCAAACUCCUACGGGAGGCAGCAGUAGGGAAUCUUCCACAAUGGACGCAAGUCUGAUGGAGCAACGCCGCGUGAGUGAAGAAGGGUUUCGGCUCGUAAAGCUCUGUUGGUAGUGAAGAAAGAUAGAGGUAGUAACUGGCCUUUAUUUGACGGUAAUUACUUAGAAAGUCACGGCUAACUACGUG